CAUACGUCUGCGGUUAGCCUCUUCAGGACCCAGUCCUUCCAAACUCCAUGGGAAGAUGGCACGAGGAACAGUGAAGAAGGAGUUCUCUAUAGUAGCCAAACCUGCCAUAGCAUUGUACCAUGCUGCACAAGCAGAGAAGAUACCAAAUGCACCACCAACUCGAAUGAGAACAACGUUAGGAGAGCCGUCAGAAGUUCUUAAAAAUGCGCAUGCCAAUAGCAAAAAGCAAACGUCCAGAGACAUGAAGAGAGAAAAGAAUGCUAGGGUGGAGCGAACUGUACAUAGCAAAACCAAAAAGGUAAAGAUAAACCAACAUAUCAAGUAAAGACCGAUAGCAUAAUUAAAGUCAUUAGGAUCGUCAUAAGAAUUUUGAAUGUUAAACCAGGGAAUAAAAAUAGAAGCAUAACUUAACCAAAAGCAGCCAUAGCUACCAAAAACAGCACCACCAAACGUAUUUCCCGAAGCCAUUUCCCACAUUGAAGCGAGAAGUUGAGCUAAACCACCGUAAAAAGCAGCGGGAGCAGUAACCAUAUUGGAAACCUUGACAUGACCAGCAUUGACAUUGAAAAGGGAAAGUAGAAACGUAGUGAAAGCAAACGCACUGAGGCCGAAAGGGGCAGGAUUACCAUAAUUGAUAUAACGAAGACGAUGAAUAUUAGGCUCGAAAUCAGCACCAGACGGACCAAACAAUCUUUUUUGUUGUUCUUGCAAUUCAGCGACUUGGUUGGCUAAACGCUCGGUUUGGUCAUAGAUGGGUUCGGCACGAAAACCGUAAAAGUGAUUGCGGUUGCGAGCUUCAAUAUCUUUAGAGUCAUGAUCGUUAUCGACGAAUUUCAAACCGGACUCCAAAUCGCCAUUUUUGCUGCGAGAAUUUGAACGAGAGGGAUUACUAGACAUGACGGAAAUAAGAACGACAGUAACUUGAUUGGGUGGAUAAAAGAUAAAAAAAAGUAAAAAAAAAAAUUGGAGUACAGUUAGUAGUGCUACCUUUGGACGGGACAGAUUUCUGAGCUGAGGUGGGAAAACAAUGUCUACAAAAACUGACGAGAAAAAGCAGUGAUUUUAUGUAGGAAAAAAAAGGAGAAAUAAGUUGAAAAUGCGCUUUAAGAAAAAAAUUUUUUCUACAAAGUUAUUUUCGUAAAGGGGGUUGAAAUAGGCAAUUUAUACGAGGAGAAGCGUUGAACCUAUUUGAGUGAUGUCAGGUAUUUUAGGAAUGCAAAAAAAAAAAAUUUGCAGACGAAAAAUAGUGUAUGAAAAAAGAAGAUAGAACAAGGUAAAGAAUCAAUUGCAAAGAAACCGG